rnacentral:rRNA from 1 species
GAAAUGCUUAGAUAUCACGAAGAACUCCGAUUGCGAAGGCAGCUUGCUGGACUGUAACUGACGCUGAGGCACGAAAGCGUGGGGAUCAAACAGGAUUAGAUACCCUGGUANNCCACGCCGUAAACGAUGAAUGCUAGCUGUUAGCGAUAUACUGUUAGCGGCACAGAGAAAUCGUUAAGCAUUCCACCUGGGGAGUACGCCGGCAACGGUGAAACUCAAAGGAAUUGACGGGGGCCCGCACAAGCGGAGGAACAUGUGGUUUAAUUCGAUGAUACGCGAGGAACCUUACCUGGGCUUAAAUUGCAGUGGAAUAACGUGGAAACAUGUUAGCCUUCGGGCCGCUGUGAAGGUGCUGCAUGGUUGUCGUCAGCUCGUGCCGUGAGGUGUCGGCUUAAGUGCCAUAACGAGCGCAACCCUCAUCGAUAGUUACUAACAGGUUAAGCUGAGGACUCUAUCGAGACUGCCGACGUAAGUCGUGAGGAAGGUGGGGAUGACGUCAAAUCAGCACGGCCCUUACGUCCAGGGCUACACACGUGUUACAAUGGGGGGUACAAAGGGCAGCUACCUGGCGACAGGAUGCUAAUCUCAAAAACCUCUCUCAGUUCGGAUUGGAGUCUGCAACCCGACUCCAUGAAGCUGGAUUCGCUAGUAAUCGCGCAUCAGCCACGGCGCGGUGAAUACGUUCCCGGGCCUUGUACACACCGCCCGUCAAGCCAUGGGAGCCGGGGGGACCUGAAGUAUGCAACCGUAAGGAGCGUCCUAGGGUAAAACUGGUGACUGGGGCU